rnacentral:rRNA from 1 species
CGGGGAUAGCCUUUCGAAAGAAAGAUUAAUACCCGAUGGUAUAAUCAGACCGCAUGGUCUUGUUAUUAAAGAAUUUCGGUUAUCGAUGGGGAUGCGUUCCAUUAGGCAGUUGGUGAGGUAACGGCUCACCAAACCUUCGAUGGAUAGGGGUUCUGAGAGGAAGGUCCCCCACAUUGGAACUGAGACACGGUCCAAACUCCUACGGGAGGCAGCAGUGAGGAAUAUUGGUCAAUGGGCGCAGGCCUGAACCAGCCAAGUAGCGUGAAGGAUGACUGCCCUAUGGGUUGUAAACUUCUUUUAUAUGGGAAUAAAGUUUUCCACGUGUGGAAUUUUGUAUGUACCAUAUGAAUAAGGAUCGGCUAACUCCGUGCCAGCAGCCGCGGUAAUACGGAGGAUCCGAGCGUUAUCCGGAUUUAUUGGGUUUAAAGGGAGCGUAGGUGGACAGUUAAGUCAGUUGUGAAAGUUUGCGGCUCAACCGUAAAAUUGCAGUUGAUACUGGCUGUCUUGAGUACAGUAGAGGUGGGCGGAAUUCGUGGUGUAGCGGUGAAAUGCUUAGAUAUCACGAAGAACUCCGAUUGCGAAGGCAGCUCACUGGACUGCAACUGACACUGAUGCUCGAAAGUGUGGGUAUCAAACAGGAUUAGAUACCCUGGUAGUCCACACAGUAAACGAUGAAUACUCGCUGUUUGCGAUAUACAGUAAGCGGCCAAGCGAAAGCAUUAAGUAUUCCACCUGGGGAGUACGCCGGCAACGGUGAAACUCAAAGGAAUUGACGGGGGCCCGCACAAGCGGAGGAACAUGUGGUUUAAUUCGAUGAUACGCGAGGAACCUUACCCGGGCUUAAAUUGCAUUUGAAUAUAUUGGAAACAGUAUAGCCGUAAGGCAAAUGUGAAGGUGCUGCAUGGUUGUCGUCAGCUCGUGCCGUGAGGUGUCGGCUUAAGUGCCAUAACGAGCGCAACCCUUAUCUUUAGUUACUAACAGGUCAUGCUGAGGACUCUAGAGAGACUGCCGUCGUAAGAUGUGAGGAAGGUGGGGAUGACGUCAAAUCAGCACGGCCCUUACGUCCGGGGCUACACACGUGUUACAAUGGGGGGUACA